rnacentral:rRNA from 1 species
AUGUGGGACGCACUCGAGGCCAAGUUUGGGGUCUCCGAUGCCGGCACUGAGUUGUACAUCAUGGAGAAAUUCUAUGAUUACAGGAUGACUGAAGAGCGCUCCGUGGUUGAGCAAGCUCAUGAGAUACAGUCAUUUGCUAGAGAGCUUGAGCACUUCAACUGUAUCCUACCGGACAAGUUUGUUGACGGAGGUAUCAUCACCAAGCUUCCUCCUUCGUGGAGGAACUUUGCUACCUUACUGAAGCAUAAGAGACAGGAGUUUUCCGUUCCGGAUCUCAUUGGUACUCUUGAUGUCGAAGAAAAGGCGAGAGCAAAGCACACGUGCUCAAGGUAUUGA